rnacentral:rRNA from 1 species
AACGAAGGGGGCUAGCGUUGCUCGGAAUUACUGGGCGUAAAGGGCGCGUAGGCGGCUUGGUCAGUCAGGCGUGAAAUUCCUGGGCUCAACCUGGGGACUGCGCUUGAUACGGCCAGGCUUGAGGCCGAGAGAGGGUGGUGGAAUUCCCAGUGUAGAGGUGAAAUUCGUAGAUAUUGGGAAGAACACCGGUGGCGAAGGCGACCACCUGGCUCGGUACUGACGCUGAGGCGCGACAGCGUGGGGAGCAUACACG